AGCAGCCGCGGUAAUUCCAGCUCCAAUAGCGUAUAUUAAAGUUGUUGCAGUUAAAAAGCUCGUAGUUGAAUUUCGGGAUCAAUAUGUCGGUCGUGCCUUGGUACGUACUGGUAUCAUUGGUCUCUCCUUUCUGACGAACCAUGAUGUCAUUAAUUUGGUGUUAUGGGAAGUUAGGACUGUUACUUUGAAAAAAUUAGAGUGUUUAAAGCAGGCUUUAGCUUGAAUACAUUAGCAUGGAAUAAUGAAAUAGGACGUUCGAACCUAUUUUGUUGGUUUCUAGGAUCAACGUAAUGAUUAAUAGGGAUAGUUGGGGGCAUUAGUAUUCAAUUGUCAGAGGUGAAAUUCUUGGAUUUAUUGAAGACUAACUACUGCGAAAGCAUUUGCCAAGGAUGUUUUCAUUAAUCAAGAACGAAAGUUAGGGGAUCGAAGACGAUCAGAUACCGUCGUAGUCUUAACCAUAAACUAUGCCGACUAGGGAUCGGAUGAUGUUAAUUUUUAAUGACUCAUUCGGCGCCUUACG
rnacentral:rRNA from 1 species